ensembl:snRNA U4 U4 spliceosomal RNA
AGCUUUGCACAGUGACAGUAUCAGUAGCCAAUGAGGUUUAUCUGAGGCAAGAUUAUUGCUAAUUGAAAAUGAUUCCCCACACCCCACCAUGAUGGCUUGAAAUACAGUCAACACUGGCAAUUUUGACAGUCUUUACAGAGA